UACGAAGGGGGGCUAGCGUUGUUCGGAAUUACUGGGCGUAAAGCGCGCGCAGGCGGUUCGAUAAGUUGGGGGGUGAAAUCCCCCGGGCUCAACCCGGGAAUGGCCUUCAAGACUGUCGAUCUUGAGGACGAGAGAGGUGAGUGGAAUUCCCAGUGUAGAGGUGAAAUUCGUAGAUAUUGGGGAAGAACACCGGUGGCGAAGGCGCUCACUGGCUCGUUUCUGACGCUGAGGCGCGAAAGCGUGGGGAGCAAACAGG
rnacentral:rRNA from 1 species